GAAUGCUGACAUAAGUAACGAUAAAGCGGGUGAAAAGCCCGCUCGCCGGAAGACCAAGGGUUCCUGUCCAACGUUAAUCGGGGCAGGGUGAGUCGACCCCUAAGGCGAGGCCGAAAGGCGUAGUCGAUGGGAAACGGGUUAAUAUUCCCGUACUUGGUGUUACUGCGAAGGGGGGACGGAGAAGGCUAUGUUGGCCGGGCGACGGUUGUCCCGGUUUAAGCGUGUAGGCUGGUUUUCCAGGCAAAUCCGGAAAAUCAAGGCUGAGGCGUGACGACGAGGCACUACGGUGCUGAAGCAACAAAUGCCCUGCUUCCAGGAAAAGCCUCUAAGCAUCAGGUAACAUCAAAUCGUACCCCAAACCGACACAGGUGGUCAGGUAGAGAAUACCAAGGCGCUUGAGAGAACUCGGGUGAAGGAACUAGGCAAAAUGGUGCCGUAACUUCGGGAGAAGGCACGCUGACACGUAGGUGAAGUGAUUUACUCAUGGAGCUGAAGUCAGUCGAAGAUACCAGCUGGCUGCAACUGUUUAUUAAAAACACAGCACUGUGCAAACACGAAAGUGGACGUAUACGGUGUGACGCCUGCCCGGUGCCGGAAGGUUAAUUGAUGGGGUCAGCGCAAGCGAAGCUCCUGAUCGAAGCCCCGGUAAACGGCGGCCGUAACUAUAACGGUCCUAAGGUAGCGAAAUUCCUUGUCGGGUAAGUUCCGACCUGCACGAAUGGCGUAAUGAUGGCCAGGCUGUCUCCACCCGAGACUCAGUGAAAUUGAACUCGCUGUGAAGAUGCAGUGUACCCGCGGCAAGACGGAAAGACCCCGUGAACCUUUACUAUAGCUUGACACUGAACAUUGAGCCUUGAUGUGUAGGAUAGGUGGGAGGCUUUGAAGUGUGGACGCCAGUCUGCAUGGAGCCGACCUUGAAAUACCACCCUUUAAUGUUUGAUGUUCUAACGUGGACCCGUUACCCGGGUUGCGGACAGUGUCUGGUGGGUAGUUUGACUGGGGCGGUCUCCUCCUAAAGAGUAACGGAGGAGCACGAAGGUUGGCUAAUCCUGGUCGGACAUCAGGAGGUUAGUGCAAUGGCAUAAGCCAGCUUGACUGCGAGCGUGACGGCGCGAGCAGGUGCGAAAGCAGGUCAUAGUGAUCCGGUGGUUCUGAAUGGAAGGGCCAUCGCUCAACGGAUAAAAGGUACUCCGGGGAUAACAGGCUGAUACCGCCCAAGAGUUCAUAUCGACGGCGGUGUUUGGCACCUCGAUGUCGGCUCAUCACAUCCUGGGGCUGAAGUAGGUCCCAAGGGUAUGGCUGUUCGCCAUUUAAAGUGGUACGCGAGCUGGGUUUAGAACGUCGUGAGACAGUUCGGUCCCUAUCUGCCGUGGGCGCUGGAGAACUGAGGGGGGCUGCUCCUAGUACGAGAGGACCGGAGUGGACGCAUCACUGGUGUUCGGGUUGUCAUGCCAAUGGCACUGCCCGGUAGCUAAAUGCGGAAGAGAUAAGUGCUGAAAGCAUCUAAGCACGAAACUUGCCCCGAGAUGAGUUCUCCCUGAGACUUAGAGUCUCCUGAAGGAACGUUGAAGACGACGACGUUGAUAGGCCGGGUGUGUAAGCGCAGCGAUGCGUUGAGCUAACCGGUACUAAUGAACCGUGAGGCUUAACCUUACA
rnacentral:rRNA from 1 species